rnacentral:tRNA from 1 species
GGGUCUAUAGUUCAACGGAUAGAGCAAUGGUCUUCUAAACCAUCGAUUGAGGUUCGAUUCCUCAUAGACCUA